UAGGGCUGGUUAACAGCCUCUGAGGUUAUACUCCCUGGCUGCCUGUUGGGAAUACUGGAGGCUCCCCUUCCCAAUCAGCUCUCUGGGUGGUGGCCAGCUUCUACCAGAUGAAGUGAUCUAAGGAGUCAAGGUGGAAGCUGACAGUCCCGUUGAAGUUCUCUCUAAGGAGUAAAGAAGCUUUUUUCCAGAAGUUUUCUAGCAGACAAUGCUGCACAUCUCAUUGGCACAGGCCCUUUCCUGAACUGAUCAGAUUAUCCUUAGCUCAGACCACCCCUGGAGUCAAGAGUGGAGUCAGCUUCUCCCAGCACAGUUCUGUGUGGGAAAGUAUAGACAUAUUAACGGAAUCUGGGUUCUUUUUAGAAGGAAAACAGGGUAGAAAGGCAUUAAUGCUGAAAAGAUAACCAACAGUCUUGAGUAAAGGUAACUUCUAUUA